UUGGCAUUUAUAAUUUAUUUUUUCUUAAAAUGUGUUUGGAUGAGAUAUUUGGAGGAAUAAUUUUAUUUUAAUCAAGAUUCUUAAAAAUUCCUUCCAUGUCAUGAGCACGAGUGACAAGCUCUUCAAAAGUGCGAGGUUUAAUUCCUUGCAAGAUGUAAAGAAGUUCUCAAUGCCUAGCCUAAAUGCACAUCUCAACAGCAGACGUUUCUGGUAACCUAUCUUUCAAUCAAGACUUAAAGCUCUCUAUCUGGUGAUGUAGUUGAUAACUAGCUAUUUUUCUUUUGCCUUGUUUUUAUUAAUUCUGUCAUACUAACUAUGCGAAGAGUAAUGGACUCAAGCUCCAAAUCAGUAUGCCAGUCAAAAGCAUUUCCUUUGAGUGAUUGCACAAAUUACUUGACAAGAAGAUCACCAUAUGUUCAUGUAGUGUUACAAGUUUCAAUGAAGUGAGCAACAUGCUGGUGAGGAUUUUCUUUUCUGUGAACCUGUUGAAAUUUAGGUGGUUGAUAAUUUGUUGGCAUCUUUAACUCAUCAAUUCUUCGGGUGUACAGAUUGGUGUAUGCAUGUUAAGUCUUGGAUGCAGUGCCAUAUUGCGCCUUAAUUGUAUUUGCAACCAUAUCUUGUAGUUGUUUUAACUAACAAUAAGGUUGUUGAUGUAGAUGACGAAGCAUUCACCAUAGGGUUCUCUGCUUCUUGGGCGGCUUCAAGUUUUUUAGAAGCUUCAGCAUCUGACUUGUUUGCUGUGAAACUGGGAAAAUGUAAUUGAUCCUGUUAGCUCAUUGUCUUGCUGCAUUUCUCUUUGGCUUUAGAGCUUUGCUAUUUGCGCAUUUUUUUUCUUCCAUCACUUUAAAGUGAUCAAUCAUCUUCUUUUCCAUUUCAGCAAACUUUUCUUCUCAUGUAGUGGAACCAAUGACUAUUAUCAGCAUGACUUUAGAAAUAGAAUCGAAUUGUGUUAUUAGUGGGGAGCCAAGAUCUUCACUUGACUUCGAAAGAUCCCUUCUCUGCAAGGCAACGAGUCUUGACAAAAGUAAUUGUAAGAUCAUAGAUGCCAUGUAUCUCAACAAAGCAAUUUGAUUUGUUGAAGGAGAUAGAGACGAGAGGCAGAGAUGUCCCAUCGUGCUUGCCAAAAAUUUGUACAUACAAAUUUCUUGUUUGAAAAUCUAGAACAGAAAUAAAGUGUCAAAAUUCAAUUUUUAUUAAAUUAAAUAUUGAAUACAAUUCUUUGUACAUUUUAUACAAGAAAAUAAUCCAUAGAUUUGAUCUCCUUAGAAGCAAAAUUGUUCAAGGGCUUGACAGCUUGAUCUCGAAGUAAUUUGGCAAAUCUUUAAAACGGCGUCUUUUGUCGUAGAGAAUAAGCUUGAAUGAUUUUUAUGGGCGAGAACUUUAUCACGAACUAGCAAAGAUAAGCAGAUCUUCAAAGGCAUCGCCAAAGGCUUGUGAACUAGCAAAGUUUUCUCUUCUUUGGAAUUGCUUCCCAAAUGACUUGGAGAAACUCUCUAUUUAUACUUCUAUGGUGCUGUGACACUAUAUAACGUCGAAAACUGUGAUAGUAUGUGAGAGAGUUUCAAAAGAACUUAAUCACUUUGAUUUUAUCUCUAAUUAUUUUAAAUUAAUUAGAGAUAACUAAGAUGACUCAUGGAUAGAUUUUAAU
rnacentral:lncRNA from 1 species